UGUUACAUGGCAGAGCAAUCAGACAGUCGAACGGCUCUGGAGCAGCUGUCCUUGAACUGUCCCGGAGCGACGGGGCGGCGAGGAGACUCCCAGCCCGGGAGUAGGAUUCUGUGGACUCGGAUUUGGAAACCAUGCUUCUUCGCUCAGGGAGGAGGAGCAGAGGAAGAGGGAAAAAGAGAAUCUCAAGCAGACUUUCCUCUGAGCAUGGAGCCGGACGUGGGGAUUUAUCCCAGAACGCUAAGAUCAUGACCUAAGCUUCAAUCAAGAGUGAAUAAUUGGCAUCACUAGCCGCCCAGUUGCUCAGAGCUGAGGACUGGAGUCUUAAAAGACAAUGGACACUGCGUUUUCACGGCUGGGGUCCAGGUCUCAUAGGAGGAGUCCCAAGGGAUGAAGCUGAAACAAUACGCAGGGGAAAGCUCCAAAAAGGCACAGCAACAAUACUAAGUUACUUAAAUCUUUGCUGGAUAGGAGAUUUUUGAAGAAUUUUCAGCUGAGGACAGACAUGAUAAGAUUUGCUGGUCGGGGGGCACCUGGGUGGCUCAGUGGGUUAAAGCCUCUGUCUUCAGCUCAGGUCAUGAUCCCAGGGUCCUGGGAUCGAGCCCUACAUCAGGCUCUCUGCUCAUCGGGGAGCCUGCUUCCUCCUCUCUCUCUCUGCCUGCCUCUCUGCCUACUUGUGAUCUCUGUCUGUUAAAUAAAUAAAAUCUUUAAAAAAACAAAAAAGAUCUGCCGGUCAGGUUGAUCCCUAUGAGUGAAUAGCAGGAAGGACUGGAGUAGGGCUAGAUGCUGAGAUUCUUUACGAGGCUACUUUCACUGUCCACAGAAGAAAUAAACCAAGGAAUUGAGAAUGCAGAGGAAGAUUGGAUUUGCAUAAUAUUCAAUACUUGAAUAAAUGGGAAGAUUUAGUGACUUAGUAGACAUGGGGCUUGAGGAACAGGGAAGGUUCCAAGUUGAUUUCCAUAAGGGAUUUGGUGGGGACUGGUGACAUCAAUGAGAGGGUAAAUACAGGAAAAGAAACAGAUUUGGGAGCGGGAAGACUGGAGAAUGUAAUUAGCUUAUCUAUAAGUUUUAUAACCACCCUGACAGAGAACUGUCUAGCCUUUGAAGAGUAUUCAAGUAUAAGAACUAGAAAAUGAAUUUAAUUUAAAAGACUGCUCUCAUUGAAAAUGUAUACUAUCGAGUGGUCAUAAGAAGAAGACUCACCCCUGUUCAUUUCAGAGUUAUUUAAGAAGUUAACAUUUGAGAAAUUGCCUAAAAGAGUUAUUCUUCAACAAAUUCUUUUUUUUAAAAAAUAUUUUGUUUUUAUUCAUUUGACAGAGAGAAAGAUAUCAGGCAGAGAGGCAGGCAGAGAGAGCAGGGGAAGAAGGCUCUCCAUUGAGCAAAGAGCCCAAUGUGGGGCUUGAUCCCAGGACCCUGGGAUCAUGACCUGAGCCAAAGGCAGAGGCUUAACCCACUGAGCCACUCAGGUGCCCCUCUUCAACAAAUUCUUAUAAGAGUUAGUUAAAAGCUAUUUUAGGUGACUAGAUAAACCUUAAUUGUAUCAACAUAAGCUCAAUCAUGAAGAUAAAGUAUUCCUGAAAUUAAAAUAUAUGCCAGUAAAAAAUAUUAUUUGAUUCACAGAACAUAACUAAUUAUAAUUUUCCCUAGAAAAUAUCUAUUUCUUGGGGCUCCUGGGUGGCUCAGUUGGUUAAGCAGUUGCCUUUGGCUCAGAUCAUGAUCCCAGGGUCCUGGGAUUGAGCCCCACAUUGGGUUCCCUCCUCAGCAGAGAGCCUGCUUCUCCCUCUCCCUGCUGCUCUGCCUACUUGUGCUAUCUCUUUGUCAAAUAAAUUAAAAAAAAAACCUUUAAAAAAAGAAAAUAUCUAUUUCAUAAAGUGAGGCAUACUUGAACUAAAAGUCACAACCAUCUUUUGAUUGGCUGUGAGAUUAAAUUUAAGAAACUAAACUGAAUUUAGUCUUUAUUAGAAAAUGAGUACAUAAAUCAGUGCUGUAUUUGUUGUUCCUUUGCAUGUCUUCUAUCUUAGUAGUCUUCCUACUUGAUGUUGGCAAAAACUGUUUUGUACAUAGUUUUGUACUCCUACGGUAUCUGGCACAGUGCCCCAUAAAGAGUAGGUGUUUAAUAAUAUUUUUAGGUAAAUAAAAGUGAUAAGAGGCAAAUAAUACUUAGAGGCUUAUAUAUCUAUAUCUACACUAGGACCUACAAAGAUGUAAACAAAGGCAAAAUACUUAUUAUUUAUAUUAUGUAUCAUAACGAAUACCUAGAGUAUUAUUAUUGUAUAUUGUGUGCAAUGUAUUAUAAGCCAGUUGCAAUUUAAAUUCAGAACAUGCAGGUGAAGUAUCUUUAACUCUCAGUGAUCCUCCACUGAAGCCAGUACAUCUACUCAUUUCACAGCGUGGCCUGAUCUUUUUUUUUUGAUGAUGGGCAUUUAUUCACAUUUUUCAUUAAAUAUUAAUUGAAAUGUUACAAUAUUCUUGACUAGAACUUUAUGUACUACCAUAAACAUAGUGGUAUAAACACAUAGUGGCGAACCACCUAGAAAACUAACAAAUAUGUAUGCAAGUGUAGUGGCCAAAAACUAAUA